UACGGAGGGUGCGAGCGUUGUCCGGAAUCACUGGGCGUAAAGGGCGCGUAGGCGGCAUGCCAAGCGUGUGGUGAAAGCCCGGGGCUCAACCCCGGGUCGGCCGUGCGGACUGGCGUGCUCGAGCACUGUAGGGGCGGGUGGAAUUCCGGGUGUAGCGGUGGAAUGCGUAGAGAUCCGGAAGAACACCGGUGGCGAAGGCGGCCUGCUGGGACAGUGCUGACGCUGAGGCGCGACAGCGUGGGGAGCAAACAGG
rnacentral:rRNA from 1 species